UAUUUUUAAAAAACUAAUUUAUUUGGGAACAUUUAAAAGUUUUUCUAGCUUUGAAAUUUAUAUUACUUUAUAAGUAUAUAUUUAUUUUUGUGAAUUAAAUUAUUUAAAGAACAUUAAUUUAUUUAUAAUAUUUAAAAUUAAAAAUUAAAGAAAUUUAGUUUUAGUAAAAGAUAUAUUAUUAAUAAAAUUUGUGCCAGCAAUUGCGGUUAUACAAAUAAUAAAAUAAAUUAUUAUUUUAAUUAAUAAAUAUUUAAUUAUUUAUAUUUAUAAUUAUUUUAAAAAGGUAAAAUUUGAAUAAAAUUUAAAAUAAGUAUUUAUUUAUAGGUAUGAAAUUAAUUACAAUAAAAGAUAAACUAGGAUUAGAUACCCUAUUAUAUUAUUUAAAUUUAAUAAUUAAAAAGAAGUAAAUUUUAUUUUUAUAAAAAUUUAAAGAAAAUGGCAGUAUUUUAAUCUAUUUAGAGGAACCUGUAAUUUAAUUGAUAUUCCACGAUUAAUUUUACUUUAUUUAUUAAAUUUAUAUAUCGUUGUUAUAAAAAUAUGUUUAAAAAUUAAAUUUUUUAAUAUUUUAACUAUAAAUUAUAUCAAAUCAAGAUAUAGUUUAUAAUAAAGAAUUAUAUGGGUUAUAGUAAAAAAAUUUUUAGAUAAUAAGAUUAAAGUUUUAUUUGAAUUUAGAUUUAAAUGUAAUUUAAUAUAAAUUUUUUAAAUGAUUUAGUUUUAAAAUAUGUACAUAUUGCCCGUCACUUUCAUUUAAUUGAAAUAAGUCGUAACAAAGUAGAAGUACUGGAAAGUGUUUCUAGAAAGA
rnacentral:ncRNA from 1 species